CCGGAUUCCCCCAAGAUUGCGUUCUUUCUCCUCUGCUCUUCUCCCUGUACACCAACAUCUGCACCUCCAGUCACCAGUCCGUCAGGCUCCUGAAGUUCGUGGAUGACACCUCCCUCAUUGGGCUCAUCUCUGAUGGAGAUGAGUCUGCCUACAGACAGGGGUGGACUGGCCAUCUGGCAUACCGGGCAUCGUCCCGGUGGGCCGUUGACCCAAUGUGGUCCGGACCGGUCCGCUAUUUUUUUUGUUUUCUUUCUCUCUCUAAAUUCCCUCCAGUUGGGCCAGUUGGCUACAGAGGGCUAGCAGUGUGUUGCCAGCAUCGACACAUAUUAUUGGUCUAUGUUUGUCAUUGUCAAUCAAUCAGUGCUGUCAAUCACAACACAAACCAGGGUGGGCGGGACCUCAUGGCAUGGGAGUGGCGGGAAGGGCUGCUGCUGAGCUGAAGAUGGAUAACCGUAAGAAACGCCCGGGUGGCGCUGAAACACUGCGACUUAAAAAGCUGAAGUCUCUGGAGGUGGAAGCUGCUAAAUGUUGGACAUUGACAGACCUAUUUGGUGCCGGGGUCACCACCCCAGCAGGUGCUGCUGCGCCGGGAGACGAGCGAGUGGAGGCAGACAUGGUUGAACACUUGACAUGUGAGAGCCUGAGGAGUUGUUCCCCCUCCGUCCAUUUUCAAGGACUUGCUCUCUCUCUGCCUCCACUUCACCACUGUUUGGCUACUGAGACGUCUCUGAUUGGUUGAGUUGACCACCCUAUAUAUGAGAGCCUAAGGAGUUGUUUUCCCUCUGUCCCCUUUUGAGGACCUGCUUUGUCUCCUCCAUCAUUCACUGGGUUAUUUCAUGUGGUGAGAGGAAUGCAGAGAGAGCUUCGUCUU
rnacentral:lncRNA from 15 species